CAAAACACUGCAGCACACCGGAGCUGAGAAGUUUAAGGACCGCAGACUCUGGAAAACUACUACAGUAUGCAUACAUUAGUACAGGCCCAUAUGGUGCCAUUGGUAAUGUACUGUUCUUCCACUGUUUAGUACGACAGUGUACGAUUUAGUAAUUUUCCGCUCUAGUCAAAGGUUUGUUUUCGUGAAAAAUAAGCAACAAGUUGCAUGUCUUUAGGUUAUGCCGUGCAAUCUUUGAUACAAUUAAGUGCUUUUGUAUGCGGUUUACUCCCAGCACGGAAACAGCAAAUCCCUCGCUUGGUGGAUCUCCUCCCUCACUGGCUCUUUAACAGCGGAGCGCGGAUUACUUUAACAGCAGCUACAACAAAAACCAAAUAUCCGCCUCUUCCCCGGUUAGCAGCCAGCCAAAGCCCACACCCGACCUUAAAAGAUAUCCAAAAACGCGUAGUGGAUCACUGCGCCAUGCAGUCGCCCGGAGUCCUGUUCCCGGAAAAUCCGCGAGGAAAGCGCGCGCGCGCAUGUAUGCGCGGUUACCGCAAGCUGGAACUAGCCCGAAAUCCGGACUGCCCAAUAACUCAAACUCCCUCUCGCUGCUCAGAAAGAAACAACCCAGCAAGCAAAUAAGUACAAGGUGGUGGGGGUGUGUUCUAGGCUUGUACCUGCUCUCGAAGUCUCUCCUGGUGGCUAAUAAUGACUGAAGCAUGGUGUGGGUACUUCUGCUUAAGGUGCUCCAGAAAGGCAUCUCUCUUCUUAUCCAAGUCUGAGGGCUGCAUGGCCAAAAUCUGCUGUGAGGUCCUUGCCCCUCCCACCAUAGGGCAACAAGACAGUUUUGGAGAUGGUGAAGAAGAAAGUGAAAGUCUGAUCAUAAUUACAAGUAAGAUAUUCAGUUUAUAUCACAUUAUAACAAAAGUGUUUUUUCAGACUAUGACUUGCAAGAGUAUUAAAAAUAACCCUCUUAGUUUCAACACAAACUGUGUGUUCCCAGCGUCCCCUAACAUAAAAUGAAGAGCCCCUUACCAACAGGUGUUAGAGAAGCUCACUCUAUUUCACUCCCCACUCAUUUUACCACUACUUUGGUCCCCUAUCAUUUGUGAACAAGUGUGCUUCAAAAAGGUCUGGCAGUUCUUGCACUGUGAAAAAGACAGACGCAGAUUAGUUUACUGGAUAUAUAAUUUAAAAGAGAUAUAAUUUAUAUUACAUGUAUUUGUUAUUUUAUAAUUGUAUAAAACUUUGUAUCAUUUUCACCUUCUAGUCAAGAUGUUCCAGUCUAAGAUUUUUGGGACUUUUGUGAUUUUUGCUCAUAUAUACAUAGUCACACUAAUUUUGGCACCCUUGGUAAAUGUGAGCUGUGAAAAUUUGUCUUUAAUGUUUAAUCAUUAGAUUUUUUUAUUCCAAAAAUACUUCUCUUAUGAAUGUCAAAAAAUUGCAAAUACACCACAGUUUUUAAAAAUACAACAUUUGUUAAAUAUAUGUGCUACAAUUAUUGACACCUAUUAGUCAAUACAUCUUUACCAGCUGUGAGUCUUCUAUAAUGAUAAGGUUGGAAAAUACAUGGCAAGGAUGAUGAAACCAUUUCUCCUUACAGAAUGUUUAUCAAUAAUUUCAAAUCUCAUCAGCUGACUACCAGAGGUGAGCGUUCCUACUCUCUCUUACCCUCAUUCUUCUCCUGCCUCACUGAACCUUCCUCUUUCAUCAUCCAAUUAUGGAGAUUACUAAAUAAUAUGCAAUUAACUUAACCAUUCUGUAAAUUUAAAUCUAAAUGGAUUGUAUUUUGAAUUAACCAUUUUAACAAUAAAAUUAUAAACUAUUUAGAUAUGAUUAUGUUCAAAAGCUGCUGUUUUAACCAACAAAUUUGCAGCAUUGUGACAUCCGAACAUACAUAGUUCUUGUUCAUAGAACAAUGUUGGAGGAACACUAUUGUAUAGGAUGUCUUUGGAUGUGGUUGCAUUAAAUUUUCCCUUUACUUAAUCUAGGAGACUCAAACAAGUUUUAGGUAGACAAAGCCCCUGCGCAAAAAAACAGCUGCAUUAAGAUAGGGUUUACUUAGUUGGAGUGGAAGAUCUUCAAUGGCCUACUAUAGAGCUCUGACCUCAACCCUAAUUAAUACCUUUGGGAAUAAGUGGAAUGCUGAGUGCACCCUAAUCCUCCUCACCCUACAUUAGUAUCCGACUUUACUAAUGACCUCAUCUUCCCAGAUACAUGGAGGUUAUUAUAACAGCAAAUGAGGACUACAUAUGGAAUAGGAUGUUCGAAAAGCACAUACGAAUCUUCAACAAAGAUACAGGGUUCAACAAAAUUGUGUACAUAUAGUGUAUGACCUCAUCUCCUCUGAGCCACAUCAGAGUGCCAUCAGCAUCAAAGAAUGCCAGUUAUGUAACAAAGACUACAGCAACUUUUAAAUUUUUUUAAAACUCUGUUACAAUUUACUCUCUGGAUUAGUACACACUUUGCCUGAAUCCACUUUUAGUUUUUUUUUAGAACAAGCUAAUGGGCUACUUCAGCUGCUUAUCUGAACAUGACCUGUCUGAAAUACUUUCUAAGCCAAAGUUUUGAACCUUAAUGUUACAAAAUAGGUAUUAUCCUUAACUACAUUACUAUACUGUUCAGUUAUUUUCACUGUAGCAUUACAUAAGUGAAGUAUGUGAUAUUUACUUUAUAUUGUUAAUAAACUUUCUUUCUGCUUUUCCCGUUAGAUGUCGCCACAGCGGAUCAUCCGCAUGUUUGA